rnacentral:rRNA from 1 species
CCUACGGGAGGCAGCAGUGAGGAAUAUUGGUCAAUGGUCGGGAGACUGAACCAGCCAAGCCGCGUGAGGGAUGAAGGUACAGAGUAUCGUAAACCUCUUUUGUCAGGGAACAAAGGCGGGGACGUGUCCCCGGAUGAGUGUACCUGAAGAAAAAGCAUCGGCUAACUCCGUGCCAGCAGCCGCGGUACUACGGAGGAUGCGAGCGUUAUCCGGAUUGAUUGGGUUUAAGGGGUGCGCAGGCGGUCUGUCAAGUCAGCGGUCAAAGCCCGGGGCACAACCCCGGCCCGCCGUUGAAACUGGCAGUCUCGAGUUGGAGAGAAGUAUGCGGAAUGCGCGGUGUAGCGGUGAAAUGCAUAGAUAUCGCGCAGAACUCCGAUUGCGAAGACAGCAUGCCGGCUCCACACUGACGCUGAGGCACGAAAGCGUGGGUAUCGAACAGGAUUAGAUACCCUUGUAGUC